GUCUACAGCCACACCACCCUGAACGCACCCCACCUCUGAUCUCGGAGGCUAGGCGGGGUGGGGCCUGGUUAGUGCUUGGGUGGGAAGAAGCCCCCCGGGUCCCCGUUGUCC
rnacentral:rRNA from 1 species